UUACGGUCACACCAUAUUGAAACACCUGUUCCCGUACGAUCACCGAAGUUAAGCAACGUCGAACCUCGCCGGUACGUUGAUGUGUGACUUCUUGGGAUUGCCAGGUGCUGCAG